AUUGGUAAUGUUUUCUACUCUAGCUCAGUCAAUAUAGUACACUGGAUAUGUAGGAUGGCUUGUUUCGAAGCUAAGACAUUUUCACAUAUAUGUGGUUAAAUUUUCGGAAUACGAAGUGCGAUUUUUUUUCACACAACAAUUUCUUUGAAAAUUUAAUACUUUGAAUACAUUAAAAAACUCCAUAGUUUUUACAUAUUUAUACUAUGAUCCUC
rnacentral:lncRNA from 1 species